UGGGGAAUAUUGCACAAUGGGGGAAACCCUGAUGCAGCGACGCCGCGUGGAGGAAGAAGGUCUUCGGAUUGUAAACUCCUGUUGUUGGGGAAGAUAAUGACGGUACCCAACAAGGAAGUGACGGCUAACUACGUGCCAGCAGCCGCGGUAAAACGUAGGUCACAAGCGUUGUCCGGAAUUACUGGGUGUAAAGGGAGCGCAGGCGGGAAGACAAGUUGGAAGUGAAAUCCAUGGGCUCAACCCAUGAACUGCUUUCAAAACUGUUUUUCUUGAGUAGUGCAGAGGUAGGCGGAAUUCCCGGUGUAGCGGUGGAAUGCGUAGAUAUCGGGAGGAACACCAGUGGCGAAGGCGGCCUACUGGGCACCAACUGACGCUGAGGCUCGAAAGUGUGGGUAGCAAACAGGAUUAGAUACCCUGGUAGUCCACACUGUAAACGAUGAUUACUAGGUGUUGGAGGAUUGACCCCUUCAGUGCCGCAGUUAACACAAUAAGUAAUCCACCUGGGGAGUACGACCGCAAGGUUGAAACUCAAAGGAAUUGACGGGGGCCCGCACAAGCAGUGGAGUAUGUGGUUUAAUUCGACGCAACGCGAAGAACCUUACCAAGUCUUGACAUCCCUCGACGACUAUAGAAAUAUAGUUUUCCUUCGGGACGGUGAGACAGGUGGUGCAUGGUUGUCGUCAGCUCGUGUCGUGAGAUGUUGGGUUAAGUCCCGCAACGAGCGCAACCCUUAUGGUCAGUUACUACGCAAGAGGACUCUGGCCAGACUGCCGUUGACAAAACGGAGGAAGGUGGGGAUGACGUCAAAUCAUCAUGCCCUUUAUGACUUGGGCUACACACGUACUACAAUGGCGUUAAACAAAGAGAAGCAAGACCGCGAGGUGGAGCAAAACUCAGAAACAACGUCCCAGUUCGGACUGCAGGCUGCAACUCGCCUGCACGAAGUCGGAAUUGCUAGUAAUCGCAGAUCAGCAUGCUGCGGUGAAUACGUUCCC
rnacentral:rRNA from 1 species